rnacentral:lncRNA from 10 species
GUUUCAGACAGUCCUCAGUUUGUUCUGGCGUCCUAGUCCCGCUUCUGGAGUCAGGUUGCACCUCCUGCCUCAGAAGGAUCAAGUUCCAGUUGCCCACAUUGGAUCUGUUUCUUAGAGAAUGAGAGAGAAAAAUGGCAUCAGGAGUCAUGGAGCCUCCAGGCUGGGUCUUGCUCUGGUGAGAAAGCACAGGACCGGGGUGGAUUUCUGAAAUCCAGGCAGUGCUCCGCACCAGGCGCGUAACAGACAGGUCUCCAUGGAAAAUAGUUCAAAUGUUGGGCUUAAGGUUCAGCAAAUUACAUACAAAGUCUUCUUAAGGCCCCUUAUGGAAUUUGCUUUAUGAGACGGGAAGAUCUUUGCUCUGAAGGAGUGAACCGUGUGACUCCAGUCACCUUGCUGAGGGGAUGUACUCCUCACGAUUUAUGGGACCUGAUCUGUUUUUCAUGGCAUCAGGGCAGAGGAGCCAUAAGGGGAAGUCCUGUGUGCUGACAGACCAAGCACACCCACUGGUGAGGCUCAGCCAAGUGCUUAACUUUAACCACUGAUUAAAUUUCCUUCU